AUCACCACCAGCAUCACCAGCGAGCAUCACCAGCGAGCAUCCCCGGCUGCGCUCCCCGCCCGCGGGCAGGGCCGAGCCCGGCAGCUUCUUCUUGGCAAAUGGUGGCAGCCAAGCCAGGUUUUUGCUUCAAAUCUUCCCUCAGCUCCACACUCUGCUGCAGUUAUGAUCAGCAAAGCUUUGCUCUGCAAGUCCAGGGGAUGCACUUGGGAACUCACAGGCUCCAAAAUCCAGGAUUCUCUCCUGGAAAUGAACCAGAGACAGUCAGAUCUCCUUCCAUGUGAAUCCUCUCCCUCUCGCCCUCCAGCUCCAAGGGCUUUUCCCACUGCCUGGUCACCUCUUAGCAGUGCUCAUGGAAGACAAAGGCAAGGUGCCCAUGGAUAGAUUUUAAAUUAACUUGAGCUGACUUUGUACCCUGCCUGUACAUUACACAUUGGAGCUUCUGCUGUGGUUAAAAUUUUCAGGAUUUUGCAUUUCAGUGAUGCCUGUCACAAGAGUGGGUGCCAGGGCCUCACCCUGUCAACUCUCUGUCACAUCAACCCUUGCACCUAACAGGUGCAGGAUGAGCCUCUCCCCUUCCUUCUUGAUGCCAGCAUUUGCAGUUAUAGUCAAACUUGUCUUGGGAAAGGAGAUCUGCCAGAGGGAAAACUGAAUAAAAUGCAAAAUUCUUAUAUUUUUUGUUUUUUUUAAAGCAUCCUUACCACAGAUAUUACCAGAGCUAGGUUUGAUUUUUGGGCGGUGUACUUGUGGUUUUUGUUUUAAAUGCAGCUGUUAUUCAUUAAUUGAGAGUGGAAUAGAUCAAUUUUGCCCAAGCUGACUUCGCACAAACUAAACUCAACUUGGAGAAUUUUUUGUUGAUUUAUUUUUACCUCCUUCUUCAUCUUGUUUUCAGCAGGGAUCAAAACAGACCCUGUUUUUUUCUCUUCCAGCCAGGCCUAGCAGGCUCAACAGGAUACACUUGAACAUCAAAGCUGACAGUGAAUUCUCAUUUUAUUCCUGAGAGUAAUUCUAAAAAUGGAGGAAAGCUGAGGGACAGUAAACAUCUGAUGAUUCAAUGUAGAGGAGAGCCCAGCCUUCAUCAAAUAGAUUGAUGAUCCCAAAUUGAAGGGCCUGCUGCAAGGGACAGUCUGCAGGCAGAUGCUGAAGGUGUUUAUGUGCUGAUUUGUUCUGUAUUUGAAAUUAUUAAUUCCUGUUGUCAAGUGUUUUAUCCACUGCUGUAUUCCUGCACCAAUUCCCAUUCAGCCUCCUCCCAGCUGAGUGUUUAUGGAAGUAAUUGCUGGCUGCUAAUCCUUGUGAGCACUUCCCAGUGUCUGCAACAAAAAAUGACAAAUUUUAGACAGGUUGAGAACCCCUUUUUUUUUUUUUUUUUUCCUAAAUUCUGGUGGGGCCUUUGCUGCUGCAGUGAGGGAAAUUCCCUGGAUUACAGGCCAGGAGUCAGUUCAUGCUCUCUCUGUGUCUCUGGUGCUCCUCAUCAGGAAUUCCUGCCUGUUCCUCCCAGCCUGUUGGGACACCCUGCACAAGUUUCCUGGCCAUGCUUUUCAGGCCCCACAUUAAAAUAAUGUGCCCUAAAAAGCAA